GCGCGAAAACUUUACAAUGCGCGAAAGCGUGAUAAGGGGAUCCUGAGUGCUCAUACACAGUAUGGGCUUUUUUCAAGAGUAAAAAUCUUGAAGAAUAAGUGGUGGGCAAGACUGGUGCCAGCCGCCGCGGUAACACCAGCGCCACGAGUGGCAUUCGUGUAUUUGGCCUAAAGCGUCCGUAGCUGGUUCUGUAAAUCUUUCGUGAAAUUGUUAUUGUCAACGUAACAGCGGGCGAAAGACACUGCAGGACUUGAGACCGGGAGGAGUCAGAGGUAUUCUUGGGGGAGCGGUAAAAUGUUAUAAUCCCAAGAAGACCACCAGUGGCGAAGGCGUCUGACUAGAACGGAUCUGACAGUGAGGGACGAAAGCUAGGGGAGCGAUCCGG
rnacentral:rRNA from 1 species